AGGACGAACGCUGGCGGCGUGCUUAACACAUGCAAGUCGGACGGUCGGCACUGGAAGGUUCGCUGGAAGGUGCCGAUAGUGGCGGACGGGUGAGUAACGCGUGAGGACAUGGCUCCAGGAGGGGGAUAACGUUUGGAAACGGACGCUAAGACCCCAUAAGCCGGGAGGUGAAAAUGGCGCAAGCCAGCCUGGAGAGUGACUCGCGUCCUAUCAGCUGGUUGGUGGGGUGACGGCCCACCAAGGCGAUGACGGGUAGCCGACCUGAGAGGGUGGCCGGCCACACUGGAACUGAGAUACGGUCCAGACUCCUACGGGAGGCAGCAGUGGGGAAUAUUGGGCAAUGGGCGCAAGCCUGACCCAGCGACGCCGCGUGGGGGAAGAAGUCUUUCGGGACGUAAACCCAUGUUGUACGGGACGAAGGAAGUGACGGUACCGUACGAGGAAGCCCCGGCAAACUACGUG
rnacentral:rRNA from 1 species